ACGUGCAGCACGUGAGCGGUCACUCAAAGAAACGCCUCGUGUGUGUGGGGCUUGGCUGCCGCUCAUCCAGUUCCAAAUCCACCACCGGAUGACCGGAGCUCCAAUGGCUGCCGCCAGAGACCUCAGGUCGGAGUAUCGCCCGAGAUCUUGCUCAACUGCCGCCGCAGACACCGAGCUCGUCGCAACCCAGUCCCAGUGCCUCUGACCUUAGAGCAAGGGAGUCCGGUGAAGGAGCUAUGUACCAAGGCAACAAUCCUCUUCUUCUUAGAAAGAUCAGGACCCUCCAUCGGUCUGAGCAAAGACAUUCCACCUUCCAGAUCGAAGUGAUCGUGUUGAUUCUACAGUUUCCUGCCCGAGGAAAAAAGAUGGAGAACUUCGAGGAGAAACCGGUUGAAGACCAUUACUACUUAUUUACUGAGGUAUUUUUUGGCCCAUACAGUUGUGUGAUAAUUCGAAUGAUUUGUUGCAAGUAUCAAGUGGAUACAGUGCACAUUGCACACUACGUACAUCCUUGCAGUUGGAAUUGAGACCUGUAGUAGUAUGUGUUUUGUUAGGUGCCUGUUUCAUGUCAAUGCUCGUCAUAUACAAAUACAGAUUGGUACCACAAACAUGUGCUUAAGUUAGCACAUUUGCUCCCAUAUUA